CAGUAGCCGCGGGAAUACAGAGGGUGCAAGCGUUAAUCGGAAUUACUGGGCGUAAAGCGCGCGUAGGUGGUUUGUUAAGUUGGAUGUGAAAUCCCCGGGCUCAACCUGGGAACUGCAUCCAAAACUGGCAAGCUAGAGUAUGGUAGAGGGUGGUGGAAUUUCCUGUGUAGCGGUGAAAUGCGUAGAUAUAGGAAGGAACACCAGUGGCGAAGGCGACCACCUGGACUGAUACUGACACUUAGGUGCGAAAGCGUGGGUAGCAAACAGGAUUAGAUACCCCAGUAGUCCCUGUCUCUUAUAC
rnacentral:rRNA from 1 species